GGCCCCGUAGCUCAGCUGGUAGAGCAUUCACGGUACUAAAGCGAUGGGGGUAACCAUGCGUGGGUUCGAAUUCCGCCGGGGCCA
rnacentral:tRNA from 1 species